rnacentral:rRNA from 1 species
CGCGUAGACGGUUUUGUAAGUCAGAUGUGAAAUCCCUGGGCUCAACCUGGGAACUGCAUUUGAUACUGCAUGGCUAGAGUAUGGAAGAGGGAAGUGGAAUUUCCGGUGUAGCGGUGAAAUGCGUAGAUAUCGGAAGGAACACCAGUGGCGAAAGCGACUUCCUGGUCCAUACUGACGUUCAUGUGCGAAAGCGUGGGGAGCAAACAGGAUUAGAUACCCUGGUAGUCCACGCCAUAAACGAUGACAACUAGAUGUUGGGAGGGUCUGCCUCUCGGUGUCGCAGCUAACGCGUUAAGUUGUCCGCCUGGGGAGUACGGCCGCAAGGUUGAA